rnacentral:rRNA from 1 species
UCGAGGAUCUUGGACAAUGCGCGAAAGCGUGAUCCAGCGACGUCGCGUGCAGGAUGAAGGCCUUCGGGUUGUAAACUGCUGUCGUGAGGGAACAAUAGCCUGCGUGUGAACAAUGCGCGGGAAUGAUAGUACCUCAGGAGGAAGCCACGGCUAACUCUGUGCCAGCAGCCGCGGUAAUACAGAGGUGGCGAGCGUUACUCGGAAUUACUGGGCGUAAAGGGUGUGUAGGUGGUUGAGUAAGUCAGGGAUGAAAUUCCGGAGCUCAACUUCGGAAUUGUCUUUGAGACUGCUCGGCUUGAGGAUAGUGGAGGAGAAUGGAAUUCCCGGUGGAGCGGUGAAAUGCGUAGAUAUCGGGAGGAACACCCGAGGCGUAAGCGAUUCUCUAAGCUAUUCCUGACGCUGAAACACGAAAGCUAGGGGAGCGAACGGGAUUAGAUACCCCGGUAGUCCUAGCCUUAAACGAUGGACACUAGAUAUUCCUGCGUUUAUGUAGGAGUGUCGAAGCUAACGCGCUAAGUGUCCCGCCUGGGGAGUACGGUCGCAAGGCUG